UACGGAGGGUGCAAGCGUUGUCCGGAAUCACUGGGCGUAAAGGGCGCGUAGGCGGCUCAUGAAGUCUGUGGUGAAAGUCCGGGGCUCAACCUCGGAUCGGCCGUGGCGACUCGUGGGCUGGAGCACUGUAGAGGCGGGUGGAAUUCCGGGUGUAGCGGUGGAAUGCGUAGAGAUCCGGAAGAACACCAGUGGCGAAGGCGGCCCGCUGGGCAGUGGCUGACGCUGAGGCGCGAAAGCGUGGGGAGCAAACAGG
rnacentral:rRNA from 1 species